rnacentral:rRNA from 1 species
GGAAGUUGGUGUGGGGCGUGGCGUGUAAGAGGGAGGUUGGGAGGGGUAAGCUGAAUUGCGGGGUGUAAGGUGGGCGUAGGGGGUGUUGUAGUCUAGAUGGGAAAUCCGCGGGCUUAAGCUGGGAAUUGCGUUUGGGACUGGGAGGCUGGAGGGCGGCAGAGGAGACUGGAAUUCCGGGUGUAGCAGUGAAAUGCGUAGAUAUCAGGAGGAACACCGAUGACGAAGGCAGGUCUCUGGGCUGACACUGACGCUCAUGCACGAAAGCGUGGGGAGCAAACAGGAUUAGAUACCCUUGUAGUC